CCAUGUGCUGAUAAGUGCCUGACUUAACCUCGGCGAAGUAGUGAUGAGGCUAGGACCAGACUACCAAAUAAACUUGUGAACGGAAAAGAAAUACAAAAAGUAACCAAUCAAUAAGGGGAGGGGAAACAUGAUGUGGGGAGAUAACAAUUUCAAUUAGGAAACCUCAAUAAAAGAAAGAAGCAACGAAGCCAGAAUAUCAAUAAUAAUCAUAAACCACAAAUUUCACGGCAUCAACCUUCAUGUUUUUACUCUCGUCCUUACCAAAUCAAUCGUAUCAAUAAUAAUGUGCACAACAUCACCCUUCGUGCUUUUACUCUCUUUCCUCAUAAUAUAGCCAAUGAAUAUCAGUAUGGAAUGGUACAUCGUAUGGAACGACAUCACCCUUCGUGCUUUUACACUCUUU
rnacentral:lncRNA from 1 species